GGAGAGGUGCAAGAGUGGUUGAAUUGGCCACCCUGGAAAGGUGGUAUACCGGUAACGGUAUCGUGGGUUCGAAUCCCACCUUCUCCG
rnacentral:tRNA from 1 species